GAUGAACGCUGGCGGCGUGCCUAAUACAUGCAAGUCGAGCGAACAGAUGAGGAGCUUGCUCCUCUGACGUUAGCGGCGGACGGGUGAGUAACACGUGGAUAACCUACCUAUAAGACUGGGAUAACUUCGGGAAACCGGAGCUAAUACCGGAUAAUAUAUUGAACCGCAUGGUUCAAUAGUGAAAGACGGUUUUGCUGUCACUUAUAGAUGGAUCCGCGCCGCAUUAGCUAGUUGGUAAGGUAACGGCUUACCAAGGCAACGAUGCGUAGCCGACCUGAGAGGGUGAUCGGCCACACUGGAACUGAGACACGCUCCAGACUCCUACGGGAGGCAGCAGUAGGGAAUCUUCCGCAAUGGGCGAAAGCCUGACGGAGCAACGCCGCGUGAGUGAUGAAGGUCUUCGGAUCGUAAAACUCUGUUAUUAGGGAAGAACAAAUGUGUAAGUAACUAUGCACGUCUUGACGGUACCUAAUCGGAAAGCCACGGCUAACUACGUG
rnacentral:rRNA from 1 species